AUUGAACGCUGGCGGCAUGCUUUACACAUGCAAGUCGAACGGCAGCGCGGGCUUCGGCCUGGCGGCGAGUGGCGAACGGGUGAGUAAUACAUCGGAACGUGCCCAGUAGUGGGGGAUAGCUCGGCGAAAGCCGGAUUAAUACCGCAUACGACCAGAGGGUGAAAGCGGGGGAUCUUCGGACCUCGCGCUACUGGAGCUGCCGAUGGCAGAUUAGCUAGUUGGUGGGGUAAAGGCCUACCAAGGCGACGAUCUGUAGCUGGUCUGAGAGGGCGACCAGCCACACUGGGACUGAGACACGGCCCAGACUCCUACGGGAGGCAGCAGUGGGGAAUUUUGGACAAUGGGCGAAAGCCUGAUCCAGCAAUGCCGCGUGUGUGAUGAAGGCCUUCGGGUUGUAAAGCACUUUUGGCGGGAACGAAAAGGACUGUGCCAAUACCACGGUUCGAUGACGGUACCCGCAGAAUAAGCACCGGCUAACUACGUG
rnacentral:rRNA from 1 species